rnacentral:rRNA from 1 species
GACGAACGCUGGCGGCGUGCCUAAUACAUGCAAGUAGAACGCUGAAGGAGGAGCUUGCUUCUCCGGAUGAGUUGCGAACGGGUGAGUAACGCGUAGGUAACCUGCCUGGUAGCGGGGGAUAACUAUUGGAAACGAUAGCUAAUACCGCAUAACAGUAGAUGUUGCAUGACAUUUGCUUAAAAGGUGCAAUUGCAUCACUACCAGAUGGACCUGCGUUGUAUUAGCUAGUUGGUGAGGUAACGGCUCACCAAGGCGACGAUACAUAGCCGACCUGAGAGGGUGAUCGGCCACACUGGGACUGAGACACGGCCCAGACUCCUACGGGAGGCAGCAGUAGGGAAUCUUCGGCAAUGGACGGAAGUCUGACCGAGCAACGCCGCGGGAGUGAAGAAGGUUUUCGGAUCGUAAAGCUCUGUUGUAAGGGAAGAACGAGUGUGAGAGUGGAAAGUUCACACUGUGACGGUAGCUGACCAGAAAGGGACGGCUAACUACGUG